UACGUAGGGUGCAAGCGUUGUCCGGAAUUAUUGGGCGUAAAGAGCUCGUAGGCGGUUUGCCGCGUCAACUGUGAAAUCCCGAGGCUCAACCUCGGGCCUGCAGUCGAUACGGGCAAACUAGAGUUCGGUAGGGGAGACUGGAAUUCCUGGUGUAGCGGUGAAAUGCGCAGAUAUCAGGAGGAACACCGGUGGCGAAGGCGGGUCUCUGGGCCGAAACUGACGCUGAGGAGCGAAAGCGUGGGGAG
rnacentral:rRNA from 1 species